rnacentral:rRNA from 1 species
GACGUAGGGCGCGAGCGUUGUCCGGAUUUAUUGGGCGUAAAGAGCUCGUAGGCGGCUUGUCGCGUCGUCCGUGAAAACCUGUGGCUCAACUGCAGGCUUGCGGUCGAUACGGGCAGGCUGGAGUCCGGUAGGGGAGACUGGAAUUCCUGGUGUAGCGGUGAAAUGCGCAGAUAUCAGGAGGAACACCGGUGGCGAAGGCGGGUCUCUGGGCCGAUACUGACGCUGAGGAGCGAAAGCGUGGGGAGCGAACAGG